GACGAACGCUGGCGGCGUGCUUAACACAUGCAAGUCGAACGGAAAGGCCCCUUUGGGGGUCCUCGAGUGGCGAACGGGUGAGUAACACGUGAGUAACCUGCCCUUGACUUCGGGAUAACUUCAGGAAACUGGGGCUAAUACCGGAUAGGAAUCCUUGCUGCAUGGUGGGGGUUGGAAAGCUUCGGCGGUUUUGGAUGGACUCGCGGCUUAUCAGCUUGUUGGUGGGGUAGUGGCUUACCAAGGCUUUGACGGGUAGCCGGCCUGAGAGGGCGACCGGCCACAUUGGGACUGAGAUACGGCCCAGACGCCUACGGGAGGCAGCAGGGGGGAAUAUUGCACAAUGGGCGGAAGCCUGAUGCAGCAACGCCGCGUGCGGGAUGACGGCCUUCGGGUUGUAAACCGCUUUCAGCAGGGGCGAAGCUUGUGGUGACGGUACCUGCAGAAGAAGCACCGGCUAACUACGUG
rnacentral:rRNA from 1 species